rnacentral:lncRNA from 1 species
UGUGUGCUGACGGAUACACACAUACACACACGGACAGCCACGGACGUUGUAACACCCCGAUCCGGCCGACACGGCCGUGGUCGAAGUCUUACGUCGCUCGGUCUACUUCCUAGCCGAACCUCUUAAUUGUUGCCCUUUAUUUAUAAUAUCGCCUAAAGGCGAGGGCUAACUUAGAUCUUAGCUAAAGACUUCCCUAGUCAUUAGUAGCCUAGAUUCUUUCAACAGUUAUGCAGCGGAUUAUUCUCUAGUAAACCAUUGGUCUAAAACCAAUCUAACACUUGUCUGGUCGAAUCACCUUAGCCUUGGUCAGUUUACUCAACUACCAAUUAGCUUAAAGGUCAAUCCUAAACCCAAACCAAGCCAUACGAUUCUGAGGUUCCAUUCCCCUAAACCAUUCUAUCUAGAUCUACAUAAGUAAAUGCUAGAUCAUACCUUUGCCACAUCUAUGGAGCUCAUUAGCUCAUUGGUCCUCCAUUGACUCGAACUAAUCAUUCAACUCAUUGAGUCUCUUAUUGGUCUUUAUCUUUGUCCCUGCAUCAAACAGCUCCCUUUGGUACUUAGUCAUUCAACCAACCAUCCCCACAGACAUGAGUAACCUUUGAGAAGUCUUCGAAAGGAUAAGGGUAUGCAUCUGGCCUUUAUCGGCUCAUGCACACUCAAACAUCCUCUUGCCUUAUAGGCAAUAGUACCCAAUCCAUAUUCUGGACUGACAAAUCUCAUUAGAUCCUAAGUCAAUCAACCAACUAUCCUCACAUGACUUGGAACUGAUGAGUCAUCAUCUGGCCUGACCGGCCUUGGGACUUAACCCAGACAACUGAUAUGAUUUGUUUAUAUCAACCGAUGUAUUCCUUAAUCAGAUUAGUUCCG